rnacentral:sRNA from 1 species
GGGGACGAAAAACAGUGUUGCGUGGG